GAACUAUAGAGUUUGAUCCUGGCUCAGAUUGAACGCUGGCGGCAUGCUUUACAUGCAAGUCGAACGGCAGCACGGACUUCGGUCUGGUGGCGAGUGGCGAACGGGUGAGUAAUUCGGAACGUGCCUAGUAGUGGGGAUAACUCUGAAAGAGUAGCUAAUACCGCAUGAGAUCUACGGAUGAAAGGGGACCCUCGGGCCUUGUGCUACUAGAGCUGAUGGCAGAUUAAGUAGUUGGUGGGAUAAAAGCUACCAAGCCUGUGAUCUGUAGCUGGUCUGAGAGGACGACCAGCCACACUGGGACUGAGACACGGCCCAGACUCCUACGAGGAGGCAGCAGUGGGGAAUUUUGGACAAUGGGCGAAAGCCUGAUCCAGCAAUGCCGCGUGCAGGAUUCGGGUUGUAAACUGCUUUUGUACGGAACGAAAGCCUGAGGCUAAUAUCCUCGGGUCAUGACGGUACCGUAAGAUAAGCACCGGCUAACUACGUGCCAGCAGACCGUACAAAGGGUGGCGUUAAUCGGAAUUACUGGGCGUAAAGCGUGCGCAGGCGGUUUUGUAAGACAGUGGUGAAAUCCCGGGCUCAACCUGGGAACUGCCAUUGUGACUGCAAGGCUGGAGUGCGGCAGGGGGGGGAAUUCCGCGUGUAGCAGUGAAAUGCGUAUGCGGAGGAACACCGAUGGCGAAGGCAAUCUGGGCCUGCACUGACGCUCAUGCACGAAAGCGUGGGGAGCAAACAGGAUUAGAUACCCUGGUAGUCCACGCCUAAACGAUGUCAACUGGUUGUUGGGAAUUAACUUUCUCAGUAACGAAGCUAACGCGUGAAGUUGACCGCCUGGGGAGUACGACCGCAAGGUUAAAACUCAAAGGAAUUGACGGGGACCCGCACAAGCGGUGGAUGAUGUGGUUUAUUCGAUGCAACGCGAAAAACCUUACCCAGACAUGGCAGGAACUUGAGAUGGUUUGGUGCUCGAAAGAGAACCUGCAGGUGCUGCAUGGCUGUCGUCGCUCGUGUCGUGAGAUGUUGGGUUAAGUCCCGCAACGAGCGCAACCCUUGCCAUUAGUUGCUAUUCAGUUGGGCACUCUAAUGGGACUGCCGGUGACAAACCGGAGGAAGGUGCGUCAAGUCAUGGCCCUUAUAGGUGGGGCUACACACGUCAUACAAUGGCUGGUACAAGGGUUGCCAACCCGCGAGGGAGGCUAAUCCCAUAAAGCCAGUCGUAGUCCGGAUCGCAGUCUGCAACUCGACUGCGUGAAGUCGGAAUCGCUAGUAAUCGUGGAUCAGAAUGUCACGGUGAAUACGUUCCCGGGUCUUGUACACACGCCGUCACACCAUGGGAGCGGGUCUCGCCAGAAAAUGGUAGCCUAACCGCAAGGAGGCGCUUACCACGGGGUUCGUGACUGGGGUGAAGUCGUAGCAAGGUAGCCGUAUCGGAAGGUGCGGCUGGAUCACCUCCUUU
rnacentral:rRNA from 1 species